rnacentral:tRNA from 1 species
GUUCCAUUAGCUCAGUUGGUUAGAGCGCAAGUAGUCGUUAUGAUGCUUGAGACGAAGGUUCAAAUCCUUCAUGGAACU